CUCCUGCCAAGGCGGCCUCCUCGCUGUCCUCUCCGUAGGAUGCUGCUCGCCAGGCCUUCUUGGCUGUUCCUCGGCCUUGGGUGCAGGCCGUGGGUGGGGGGACAGCCAGCUGGUAGACACCGGUAUUCGAUGCCAGCUCUUACAACAGGGAGCCAGCUCCUGUGUAAGGAAGUCAAGAUUUUCUCAAGGGAAAAAUCACCCUAGAAACCAUCAACUCGUGACAAACGUGAUCUCCAACGUUCAUUGUGGAAAAUAGCCUCAAGGAUGAGAUGAUGAGGAUUUUGAAGAUGGAGCGCCUACCUUCGGGGUGUGGAGGUAGAGACAGGAGAGAAGCUCAGGAUGCUGCUCAGAACAACCCAUGGCUCAGACUUCCCAAAUGCAAGAUGGGCAGACGGGCAGAAGAGUCCUCUCCUUGUCUGCCACCCGCAUGGCGUGCUGUGAGGAGCCUGUGAGAACCUGCCCAUCACCAUGAGAAGUGCAACACCAACCUCAGGUGGAAGGUAGGGUCGAGGGAUGGUCGGGGCUUUACCCUGUCACCAGGCUGCCAGGAGUGAGGCUGGCUCUGCUGCCGAUUGUUGUCUAAUCUGGGGCCAGUGACUGAGUCCUCAUGCCCCAGACUCCUUAUCCGCCACGGGGGCUCUUGUGAGGAUUAAACGAAUAAACUUACUUACAUAAAACCACUCAGGCAGGGAAGUGUGCUGUGCUCCAAAGUUUGGGACCCUUACCCUGAUUCCAGAUUUCUCACGUUACCAGUCUUUAAAACAUAAUAUUGACGGCCAGGUGCGGUGGCUCAUGCCUGUAAUCCCAGCACUUUGGGAGGCCGAGGCGGGCAGAUCACGAGGUCAGGAGAUCGAGACCAUCCUGGCUAACAUGGUGAAACCCUGUCUCUACUAAAAAUACAAAAAAUUAGCUGGGCGAGGUGGCGGGCGCCUGUAGUCCCAGCUACUCAGGAGGUUGAGGCAGGAGAGUGGAGUGAACCCCGGGGGGCGGAGCCUGCAGUGAGCAGAGAGCACGCCACCGCACUCCAGCCUGGGCGACAGCGAGACUCCGUCUCAAAAAACAAAACAAAACAAAGCAAAACGUAAUACUGACUUCUUAAAAAAAAUUAACUUUUAUUUUAUAUCCAGAGGUUACAUAU
ensembl:lincRNA